AACGCGAAGAACCUUACCUACCCUUGACAUGCCAGGAAGCCCGCUGAGAGGUGGGUGUGCCCGAAAGGGAGCCUGGACACAGGUGCUGCAUGGCUGUCGUCAGCUCGUGUCGUGAGAUGUUGGGUUAAGUCCCGCAACGAGCGCAACCCUUGUCACUAGUUGCUACGCAAGGGCACUCUAGUGAGACUGCCGGUGACAAACCGGAGGAAGGUGGGGAUGACGUCAAGUCCUCAUGGCCCUUAUGGGUAGGGCUUCACACGUCAUACAAUGGCGCAUACAAAGGGCUGCCAACCCGCGAGGGGGAGCCAAUCCCAGAAAGUGCGUCGUAGUCCGGAUUGCAGUCUGCAACUCGACUGCAUGAAGUCGGAAUCGCUAGUAAUCGCGGAUCAGCAAUGUCGCGGUGAAUACGUUCCCGGGCCUUGUACACACCGCUCGUC
rnacentral:rRNA from 1 species